rnacentral:rRNA from 1 species
AUUGAACGCUGGCGGCAUGCCUUACACAUGCAAGUCGAACGGCAGCACGGGAGCAAUCCUGGUGGCGAGUGGCGAACGGGUGAGUAAUAUAUCGGAACGUGCCCGGUCGUGGGGGAUAACGUAGCGAAAGCUACGCUAAUACCGCAUACGAUCUACGGAUGAAAGCGGGGGAUCGCAAGACCUCGCGCGAUUGGAGCGGCCGAUAUCAGAUUAGGUAGUUGGUGAGGUAAAGGCUCACCAAGCCGACGAUCUGUAGCUGGUCUGAGAGGACGACCAGCCACACUGGGACUGAGACACGGCCCAGACUCCUACGGGAGGCAGCAGUGGGGAAUUUUGGACAAUGGGCGGCAAGCCUCGAUCCAGCAAU